rnacentral:rRNA from 1 species
AACGAACGCUGGCGGCAGGCCUAACACAUGCAAGUCGAGCGAGGACUUCGGUUCUAGCGGCGGACGGGUGAGUAACGCGUGGGAAUGUGCCCUUCUCUACGGAAUAGCCCUGGGAAACUGGGAGUAAUACCGUAUACGCCCUAUUGGGGAAAGAUUUAUCGGAGAAGGAUCAGCCCGCGUUGGAUUAGGUAGUUGGUGGGGUAAUGGCCUACCAAGCCGACGAUCCAUAGCUGGUUUGAGAGGAUGAUCAGCCACACUGGGACUGAGACACGGCCCAGACUCCUACGGGAGGCAGCAGUUGGGAAUCUUAGACAAUGGGGGCAACCCUGAUCUAGCCAUGCCGCGUGAGUGAUGAAGGCCUUAGGGUUGUAAAGCUCUUUCAGCUGGGAAGAUAAUGACGGUACCAGCAGAAGAAGCCCCGGCUAACUCCGUG